AACGAACGCUGGCGGCAGGCCUAACACAUGCAAGUCGAACGCCCCGCAAGGGGAGUGGCAGACGGGUGAGUAACGCGUGGGAACCUACCUUUCGGUGCGGAAUAACUUCGGGAAACCAAAGCUAAUACCGCAUACGCCCUACGGGGGAAAGAUUUAUCGCCGAUAGAUGGGCCCGCGUCGGAUUAGCUAGUUGGUGAGGUAAUGGCUCACCAAGGCUACGAUCCGUAGCUGGUCUGAGAGGAUGAUCAGCCACACUGGGACUGAGACACGGCCCAGACUCCUACGGGAGGCAGCAGUGGGGAAUAUUGGACAAUGGGCGCAAGCCUGAUCCAGCCAUGCCGCGUGAGUGAAGAAGGCCUUAGGGUUGUAAAGCUCUUUUAGUGGGGACGAUAAUGACGGUACCCACAGAAUAAGCCCCGGCUAACUUCGUGCCAGCCGCCGCCGUAAGAC
rnacentral:rRNA from 1 species